UCUGGGAGCUGAAGUUCUAGGCGCCUGCCUUUUCUAAAGAUGGCGGCCUGGCGCGUUCUCGCCAAUGGACUUUCUGAGUGCCGCUGAGGGAGGAGUUUCAGGAGGCGUGUGCGAAGAAAGCCGCCGUUCCAUUGGGCCUUUUUUUUUUAACUUCCUAGAACGUACUGUAAGAGCUUCGUGGCUGGCAUGACUUCUCGACGCUUCCGCUUCCGGGAGAAGAGAUAUAGGAAAAAGGAACACGAGCGCGGUUCAAAAGCAACAACAGGCAGAACAUUGGGAUUUUAGUGAUGUUAAGAAUGGUUUUACUGAUGCUUUGUUAGGGUUGAAAUGAAGUGUUCCAUUGGGAUGAGGAAUUUUCUUCAAAGCAAGGCUUCUCCGGCUCACAUGAAUCUGCCAAUGUGGAAAGAGUAAAUAAAAAGGUUAUUGUACAGCAGAAAUGGAAAAUGUCCCUUCAGAUACUGUGGAAUGCAGCUUCCAUCAUCCUUUAACUUUGGGUUUGCUGUCUUGGAAUGCUGGGAGGUGCAGUCCAACAACAGAGCUCUCUGGAGAUGAAAGGGAGGAAGUGACAAUUUUCUCCAGCCAAGUUUGACAGGGUGUGAAUUGCUUUCUAAAUGAGCUGUUGCAUAGUCAGAACUCUUCUAACGGUCCCGUGAUGAAUAAAACACGGCAUAAAAGAACCCAAAUCUUCUAGCAGCUUCUUAUAUUGUUUUGCUCAAGGCAUUUAUAAAACUGGGAAAGCUAUUUCUUGAAGCGAUUCUUCAUGUAAUAAACACAUUAUGAACCUCAAAUUCUCUCUACAUUUUAAAAUGAUUAUUGCCUUUAUUUUUUUAAUUAUGGAGAGGGGGAAUGUAUCUAAGAAGAAAAUAACCAAAACAUGAAUAAAUCCUCAUAAGUGCUACCCUAACCCAAAUAAUGAGAAAAACCUGCCCAUUAACUUAAGGUAAAGUAACAGUUGUAAUAUAUCCAAAGGGAAUUCCAUGGUCUCUGUCAAAAAAAAGAACAUGCCAAAGCUACAAUAAUUAGAUAUACAUGUUAGUUCCAAGUUCUGAGCAUUCAUUACAUUGGGCAUUCAUUUCAUUUCCCCGUGUUAAUGUACUUUAUGAAUUAAUAAUUUUAUUGGAUCCCCUACAGAAUAGUACUGAAUGUUAGAUGGGGUCUGAUCAGAAUUGUCCCAAAGAAGAGCAUCCUGUUUAUUUGCUACGUACAGGGCAGCUACAGCCUCCUUGCUCUUCAAGAAGUUCCUCUCCUCACGUAAGGUAGUCUGGGUCAGCAAAUCCAGUUCGUCUUGAAUACUGGCCAGUUUCUCCUGGAGCAUUUUCUCUGAAAGGACAUUACAGCACAGUGGUGUCGUUUCAAAGCAAAUUGUGAUCAAAGUAAAGAAGUGCUAUCUGCUUUAGAAAUUUAUUAAGCUUGGGAGUAGAUAGUUAGAAAUAAUUUUCUUAAGAUAAAACCUUUUGAGUGUAAGCUAGCAAGGGAUAUUUUUUCUGCAAUAAAAUUGCAACUUAAAAAAAUACUUUAUCAUUAUGGGACAUGGCUUCAGUAAAUAGUUGAACUGGUUCAUGUUAUAUCUGAUGUUCUGUUGUAGGUACUGAGGCAACACCGAAGUGGAUGGGAGGAGUACUGUAUGUCCUUUUAAUACAGGACGGAGGCUAUAGCAUUCAGAAUCUUAAAAAAAAAAAAAUCAGGCAACACCAGAAUUUUGAGAAAUAUAAGAAUACUUGCUUUUUAAAAAUUGCCAAGUGUAGUAUGUUACUCUUACAAUCAUAUAGCUGGAACCAGAUCUUUGAACUUUGCUCACUCUGGAAGUUACUAGUACAGUCGUCCCUCUACAUUGCAGUUUUGACUUUUGCAGAUUUGAUUACACUAUGUAACAAAAUUUGAAAAAAUAGUUCCUGGUUUGAAAGUGUUAUUUCCUGUUUAAUUGUGCCGUACUUACUUUGCAAGAACAAAGUUUUUUGCAGUUUAAUAAACUUUCCAUGUUUUUAUAAUAGACCCAAUUAGGAAGUGACAUGUAUAAUUCAGUAACAAAAAUAGUGUUACAUAAUGUUAUUUAUUGAUUUAACUUAAAUGUGCUUCCUUGGAUUCCCUGGGUCUAGUCCAGUGUUGCAUUAUGAUCAUAUUCUUCAAGUCAUGCUGAAGAAUCUAGAGAUUUCUGGAGAAAACACUAUUAGAGUCUCUAGGGCCUCCAAUAUGAUCAGCCUCCAGUAGAAAUUGACCAUAGGGUAUAUUGGGAGACCUAGAAAAGGUGUUCCCUGAAGUAAAAAAAAAAUAAUAGAAAUUUCUUCACUGUUUUUCACUUUCACAUGGGUUUUGUGCACCUAGCCUCAGAGAAUAUGGAGGGCUGACUGUACUACCGAAGAAUAGCAACAAAAGGAGUGUUUGAUAAUGCUAUAUAUGUGCUAUUUCUGUUCAGUGCUUACAACAUGUCUAGAUGUCAUGCAAUUGAUGGCCUUUUUUCUAACCAGUAGCUGAAACUUCACUCUUUCUAUGAACAACUUCUGUUACCACAAUGGUUUUGGCUACUUUUACAGACAGAGGGAAGCCUCUUUUAUGGUUUUUCUUUUUUAUUAAUUUUUAUUAAAACAGAUUAACAGAUAAACAGAUUAAAACAAAACCUACAAACAUACAAAAAACCCAAUAAAAAUUUAAAAAUUUAAAAUCACUGCAAUCUAUGUAAUCUAAGGGCUUUACAUUCUCUGUCUGGUAGUUAUAUUCUCUCAGUUUUCUAUACCCAUUUAGUGAGAAAGAAAAAUGUAUACAUCCUUUGCCCUUUCUUCUAAAACAGGAGUUGGAAAAGUUUUUUCUUGGUUUACAAGAAUGGUAUUAAAAUGUAAUCUACAUGCAUUCAUACUAGCUAUUAUAAGAAUAUAUGACACAUACACGGAUAGUACUUUGGAACCAGUCUCACUGGUUUGAUUAGCACAUGACUUCACUCAGACUGAUAUUGAACUUUGUCUCAUGCAAAGUGAAACCUCGGCACAUUUUUGUAAACCUCAGAUAACCUUCACUGAUGUAAUGAGAAAAUCAACAAGCACCUAUUUUGUUUUUACUACUAAGAGAAAGAACAGGAGAUUUUUAAGAAUAGUAAGUCCCAUCUGUAAGCCUGACAUGUGCCACAACAUCAAGGCUUGAAAUUUUACUUUUAAGAAGCACGGAUAUAAUGACAUGCUGAAUUCAUCGGCAACUGGGACUUGAAGAAACUCAUUCUGCCACUGCUUGAGAGUCUUACAGAAUUUGUCGUUUGAUGAGACAUCAGAUCUUUCUAGCAGUAAAUCUUGAAUCCAGCAACAACCUACUCUAGAAUUUGUCAUUUGGUGAGACACCAGAUCUUUCUGGCAGGAAAUCUUGAGCCCAGCAACAAACUACAAAGCAGUUUAGAUUCAUGGAAGCUGAAGUGGCACUGAAGUGCUACAAUUGUACAAAAAUGAGGAAAAAACCUCACAAGAGUAACCAUAUUUUUUUGAGCAACCAUAUUUUUCAAGCAACAAAAAAAAAACUAACAAAAUUUAAUAUUCCACAAUAAUUUGAUGCCCUUGUAUACUGCAUGAUGAUGGAUUAAAAAUAAUAUUUUUAGAAGAACCCUUGAUGAGUUAAGAAGUCCAAUAUGCUGCAACUUCUCACCUUCCUUCAGCAAACGUUCCUUACUGUCUUUCAUGUCAGCCACUGGUUGAUCCCUAGACUGAGAAGACAAGAAACAGAAUACAACAGAGAGGAAAAGGAACCAAGAAUCAUUUUUACCAUGAGGGACUUAAAUACAAGUGAUGCAAGGAGAUACAAAGAGAGCCAAGAAUUAUCUUGGAGGUUAAGAUCUUCUGGGGAGUCCCUGCUCUCGGUCCCACCUCUGUUGCAAGUGGGGUUAGUGGGGAUGAGAGACAGGGCCUUCUCAAUGGUGGCCUCUCAGCUGUGAAACAAUUGGUUUUAACAAUUGGUUUUUUUGGUUUUAAUGUUGUCUUUAUGUUUUUAAUUUUUUGGUUUUAAUGUAAUGUUUAUGGGUUGUAUGUUUGUGUGGCAUCUAAUGGUUGCCUAUUUGUAAGCCGCUCUGAGUUCCCUUUGGUGUGAGAAGGGUGGGGUAUAAGUGCAGUAAAUAAAUAAAUACUACUUUCUUUAGGUAGUGCAAAACAAGUUUUAAAACAUGUUAACCCAGUCACCUGGCUUCUAUCCUUACUCAGCAUUUUCUACAUUUCACACUUCUGAAUUUAGCCAUAAAGCACCAAAAUCUUUUUUUUCCUGCUACUUUCAGAUGGUUCCAUGUCAUUACUUUUUUCCAGAGCUAGUGGCAGAACUCAAGAACUUGAUUCUCAGAGUGAUUCCAAACCGGAGUCUCCGCUUAGGUUUCCUUUUUCUAUAACAUAACCAAAGAACCCCUUUUAUUAUUUUUAAUCUCCCUAGCUUACCUAAAAGUACUCACUUUUUGAUCUUUGAAACUGUCAGUUUUCAUGUGGCAAUAUGCAAAAUCAGCCUUACUAAAACAGCAUGAGAGCAGUAUAUAUCAAUACAAAAUAAGAAUCUUGCUCUUACAUAAAGUUCCCAAAGCCUCUUGUGCUUCUCCAUUAACUCCUCAAGAAGCUGCUCAAAUUCCAUUCUGAAAGUAGGAAAAAUGAGGAUAGAAGUAGAAGUAAAAAUGUUGCAAAGUAGAAAGUGGCACAUUCUCAUAGCCAGAAGAAUAAUGUUAUACUAAGGCCAAGAGCAUAACUUUUCCUACAGCAAGCAUUCACACAUGUCCUUGAGAAGUUGACAAGUAGAGGAAAAUUGAAAGAACCAUUAGUCGUGCUGCCUGGGCGAUUCUGAGAACUAUGGUCUGAACAAGUAACCCCUCUAACCUAUGUUCUGAAAACAUAUUGCAUAGAUAUGUCAUUCAAGAAUAAAAGCGAUAGCCUAUCUAUAUGAAUGACCUAAACCCCCAUUUAAUGAUUACUUGCACUAGAGGUCGUCAUUACUUCCUGUAUCUAUACAACUGGGUCUGAAUUAGUAUCAAUUAGAACAUGAUCCAUGAAAUCAAUAAGUAUUUGGUAAAUCAACAUAUAAUUUCUUUAUAUUCAGUUGGUCUCUACUAGUAGGAGUUAACAACUGAACUGAAGCAUACAAGUACUGUAUAUAUGUGGAGUGACUAUCAGUGUAGAUAUCACCUGCAGAAUCUUUUGAUGAAUCUGAAUAUUAUAAUACUCUUGAUAAAUUGAAAUCAGGAGGUGGUGCACAUUGCACAUUUGUAACUAAAGUCCAUGUUUCUAGGAAAUACCUCUGUUUGCUUUGCUUCCGUUUCUCUGCCUGGAUCUUGGCUGUGACUGCCUCAAUCCGCUGCUUACACUCUAGGUUCAAUUUCUGUUGCCUGAUACAGAAGACCACACAACGUUUCAAAAGAAGAUUUGUUCAUUAGUAAAAGGUAAUUAAUAGUCCCCCUCAACUAUGCAGUAUAUAUGAAUGUCGAGUUAUAAAUAUUUUAGAUUAAUUCAGUUUGGCAGCAGGACUGGUCCUGAAAUAAUGUCAGCCAGGUUUCCUUGUCUCCUGCAGCUCUGGUUGCAGCUCUGAGGCUUUGUAUAAAAAAAUAUACCGAUAUUCCUUGAUCACUUUCUCUUAAUCUUUUCUAUGUAGAUUUCCCUGUUCUAAAGGAUUCUCAGUAUUAAGAGAAGCAAAAUAACUUCGAAUCCAAGAAAAUAUUCAUGUGUGUUGAUCAUUUAGCAAAAUAGGCAUUGUGUGGAUUUUGUAUUUUGUUAUAUUUUGCUGAGCCCCCGGUGGCACCAUGGAUUAAGCUGCUGAGCUGCUGAACUUGCUGACCAAAAAGUUGGCAGUUCGAAUCUGGGAGUGAGCUCCUGCUGUUAGCCCCAGCUUCAGCCACUCUAGCAGUUGGAAAACAUGCAAAUGUGAAUAGAUCAGUAGGUACUGCUCUGGUGGGAAGAUAACGGCGCUACAUGCAAUCAUGCUUGUCACAUGACCUAGGAAGAAUCUACGGACAACGCUGGCACUUCAGCAUAGAAAUGGAGAUGAGCACCAACCCCCAGAAUCAAACACGACUAGACUUAAUGUCAGGGAAAAAUCUUUACCUUUAACGUAUGUUUUACUACAUGGCCAACAUAGCAAAUAUAUUUCAGACACUAUAACUGAAUAAACAUCAAAUACUGUACAGUGUGGUUUCUAGCUGUUUUUGAAAUAUUCCACUAUAUAUGAAAUAUAGUUUAUAAGUGGGUAGAAAAAUGCAUUUUAUCUAACCAAGUAUUUAGACCCUAAAUGUGAGAGGGACUUAAGUAGCAUUAUCAAUAAAUCAGUUAACAGACAAAUUUGGUGACAACUGCGAUAUUAAUUUUAGGUUUACUUUUCUGCAUUUGAUGUUAUUUCCUCCCAAAAUAUUGCAAAUUUCUAUUAAUCACAAUAUAUUUUUAAGAAUUCUUGAAAAUUUAAAACUUGUCAUGUAAAAUAUGGAAAUAAAAGACAAAAACACCCUCCAAUGAUUCACUUUUAACCAAAUGAACUACAAUACACACCACUGCCUUUUGAUCUCUGUCUCUUCACAGUGAAAUUGCAUGACUUUUCGGGUCUCUAGAAGGAACAACAGAAAAACACUGAAAUAUUGAAAGACAAUUAAAGAUUUGAAAGGGUGGUAUGUUUACAAAAAGAGUAUUGGCAAUGGAAUUCUAGGGAUAGCACAAGGGUGGUGGUGUUCUUCUUGUGGCUUCAAAAAAAAGACAAGGAUUACUCCCCUCUGAACAUCUAUCCUCUAGAUUACCCCUUCCAAAUGUCCCUGCCCAUAGUGGAGUACUCCUCGGUCCCUCUCACUCCGGGUUUUAUCUCUGUGUUCACGCGGCCUGCCCUUGCUUUAUUGUUUUUUGAUUUCUUGAUGUUCUGUUUCUUAUUAUUUAUUGUAUUUUAAAUGGUGCUAUGAUAUGUUGUUUUUAUAUUUUAUUAUGUUGUAUUGCUCUGGGCAUGGCCCCAUGUUAGCCGCCCCGAGUCCCCAUUGGGGAGAUGGUGGCGGGGUAUAAAUAAAGUUUUAUUAUUAUUAUUAUUAUUAUUAUUAUUAUUAUUAUUAUUAUUAUUAUUAUUAUUUCUUAACACUCCAGCACAAGGAUUGCAGAAUAGGGGAAUGCACAUCUGGGAAAUUUUCAAAAUAAAAUUGGAAAGGAGAUGUGCAAGAAAGAUGGCACAGGCAUGAAGGAGAGGGAGAAUUGUGUUGCUUUUCACUAACAAUGCAACGUACAAAACCCAGUAGGCAUCAACGGAGUGUUCUCAGGCUCACAUUUCAUUCCACAGUCAGAGUAAUAACUAUCCAUUAUCUGGAGGAAAUGUUUUGUAAUUUGCAGAUUCCAUAUUAAAUCCAAAAAGAAAACUGACCGUCCCUGUAAAAAAAUGAGAAAACCAACUGUCCCUGUAAAAAAUGUACAGCUCAAAAGUUAUGCUUUGGAUGUGUUCUGAAUGGAUUCUGCUGAAAUCUUGAAAUAAAUGUCCUCAGUCUUGCUGUUA